GGCAGCAGUGGGGAAUUUUCCGCAAUGGGCGAAAGCCUGACGGAGCAACGCCGCGUGAGGGAGGAAGGUCUUUGGAUUGUAAACCUCUUUUCUCAAGGAAGAAGUUCUGACGGUACUUGAGGAAUCAGCCUCGGCUAACUCCGUGCCAGAAGCCGCGGUAAUACGGGGGAGGCAAGCGUUAUCCGGAAUUAUUGGGUGUAAAGCAUCCGCAGGUGGUCAGCCAAGUCUGCCGUCAAAUCAGGUUGCUUAACGACCUAAAGGCGGUGGAAACUGGCAGACUAGAGAGCAGUAGGGGUAGCAGGAAUUCCCAGUGUAGCGGUGAAAUGCGUAGAGAUUGGGAAGAACAUCGGUGGCGAAAGCGUGCUACUGGGCUGUAUCUGACACUCAGGGACGAAAGCUAGGGGAGCGAAAGGGAUUAGAUACCCCUGUAGUCCUAGCCGUAAACGAUGGAUACUAGGCGUGGCUUGUAUCGACCCGAGCCGUGCCGAAGCUAACGCGUUAAGUACCCCGCCUGGGGAGUACGCACGCAAGUGUGAAACUCAAAUGAAUUGACGG
rnacentral:rRNA from 1 species